rnacentral:rRNA from 1 species
AUGCACGCUGGCGGCGUGCCUAAUACCUGCAAGUCGAGCGAACAGACGAGGAGCUUGCUCCUCUGACGUUAGCGGCGGACGGGUGAGUAACACGUGGAUAACCUACCUAUAAGACUGGGAUAACUUCGGGAAACCGGAGCUAAUACCGGAUAAUAUAUUGAACCGCAUGGUUCAAUAGUGAAAGACGGUUUUGCUGUCACUUAUAGAUGGAUCCGCGCCGCAUUAGCUAGUUGGUAAGGUAACGGCUUACCAAGGCAACGAUGCGUAGCCGACCUGAGAGGGUGAUCGGCCACACUGGAACUGAGACACGGUCCAGACUCCUACGGGAGGCAGCAGUAGGGAAUCUUCCGCAAUGGGCGAAAGCUUGACGGAGCAACGCCGCGUGAGUGAUGAAGGUCUUCGGAUCGUAAAACUCUGUUAUUAGGGAAGAACAAAUGUGUAAGUAACUAUGCACGUCUUGACGGUACCUAAUCAGAAAGCCACGGCUAACUACGUG